rnacentral:rRNA from 1 species
GCAUAAUCAUUUGCCUUCUAAUUAAAGGAUAGUAUGAAAGGAAGAACGAAAUUUUAACUUUAUUAUUUAUAAUUUUUAAAAAUUAAAUUUCAGGUGAAGAUGCCUGAAUAUUUUUGAAAGACAAGAAGACCCUUUAGAGUUUAAGUAAUAAAUAAUGUACAAAUUAAUAUAUAACUUUUGUUGGGGCGACAAAGGAUUAUCAAAACCAUCCUUUUUUUUAAAGAAACCUUAUUCAUAAAACAAAGAUCCUUCCUAAAGAUCAAAAGAAAAAACUACCUAAGGGAUAACAGGCUAAUCUUCUUAGAGAGUUCAUAUCGACAAGAAGGUUUGGCACCUCGAUGUUGGCUUAGAGACCCUCCUAAUUGUAACAGAUUAGAUAGGUAGUUUGUUCAACUAUUAAUACUCU